GCCAAUGGCUUAAUGGCAAAGUUAACAGUUUUCCUUGCUGAAUUUAUCACUCAUUUUUAAUAACAGAUGAUUGGCAUGUCAAUGCUAGCUUACAGUGGAACUCAGCUGUAAGGAUUGAAACAUGUUAGCCCCGAUGCUAACUGAUUCUGAGAUUAAUUAAUCGGUAAUGUUUGAUAUCAGAAUGAUGUUAACUACUGUUCUGGCUAUAUAUGGGCCCUAUGAAGAUCUGGAUCAGUCCACGGGUGCUUCUGGUCACGGCUAUGCUCUGUGAAGUGGGGGGGCUCUCAGCUGGCACCGCAGGGCAGGACCCAGGGUUGUUGGAGGCAGACUGGGGCUCUAUGGCACUGCCAUCUGCUGCUGAGUGA
rnacentral:lncRNA from 1 species